rnacentral:rRNA from 1 species
AUUGAACGCUGGCGGAAUGCUUUACACAUGCAAGUCGAGCGGCAGCGCGGGGCAACCUGGCGGCGAGCGGCGAACGGGUGAGUAACACAUCGGAACGUACCCAGUUGUGGGGGAUAGCCCGGCGAAAGCCGGAUUAAUACCGCAUACGACCUGAGGGUGAAAGGGGGGGAUCGCAAGACCUCUCGCAGUUGGAGCGGCCGAUGGCGGAUUAGCUAGUUGGUGGGGUAAAGGCCUACCAAGGCGACGAUCCGUAGCUGGUCUGAGAGGACGACCAGCCACACUGGAACUGAGACACGGUCCAGACUCCUACGGGAGGCAGCAGUGGGGAAUUUUGGACAAUGGGGGCAACCCUGAUCCAGCCAUUCCGCGUGAGUGAAGAAGGCCUUCGGGUUGUAAAGCUCUUUCGGCAGGAACGAAACGGUGGGAGUUAAUACCUUCUGCUAAUGACGGUACCUGAAGAAGAAGCACCGGCUAACUACGUGCCAGCCGCCGCCGUAA